rnacentral:rRNA from 1 species
CGCCUUUUGAACUAUAAACAUAAAAGGUCCUGCCUGCCCAGUGACACUUGUUUCAACGGCCGCGGUAUCAUGACCGUGCAAAGGUAGCGUAAUCACUUGUCUUUUAAAUAAAGACCGGUAUGAAUGGCAAGACGAAACCUAACUGUCUCCUUAAGCUAAUCAAUGAAAUUGAUCUUCCCGUGCAGAAGCGGGAAUAAUAAUAUAAGACGAGAAGACCCUGUGGAGCUUCAAAAUUAAGCUAACAGAUCAUAAUGCCUUAGCAUACAGUUUUGGGUUGGGGCGACCGUGAGGUAAAACACAACCCUCAAGACGAAAACUAAGAAGGACACUUCAAAUAAAUAACAAUAUAGUAAUUGACCCAAUAAUUGAUCAACGGACUAAGUUACCCCAGGGAUAACAGCGCAAUCUGCUCAAAGAGCCCUUAUCGACGAGCAGGUUUACGACCUCGAUGUUGGAUCAGGACUCCCAAAUAAUGUAACAAUUAUUAAAGGUUCGUUUGUUCAACGAUUAAAGUCCU